rnacentral:rRNA from 1 species
UACGAAGGGGGCUAGCGUUGCUCGGAAUCACUGGGCGUAAAGGGUGCGUAGGCGGGUCUUUAAGUCAGGGGUGAAAUCCUGGAGCUCAACUCCAGAACUGCCUUUGAUACUGAGGAUCUUGAGUACGGGAGAGGUGAGUGGAACCGCGAGUGUAGAGGUGAAAUUCGUAGAUAUUCGCAAGAACACCAGUGGCGAAGGCGGCUCACUGGCCCGUAACUGACGCUGAGGCACGAAAGCGUGGGGAGCAAACAGG